UACGUAGGGGGCUAGCGUUGUCCGGAUUAUUGGGCGUAAAGAGCGUGUAGGCGGCCAGAUAGGUCUGCUGUGAAAACUCGAGGCUCAACCUCGAGCUGUCGGCGGAAACCAUCUGGCUAGAGUCCGGAAGAGGAGAGUGGAAUUCCCGGUGUAGCGGUGAAAUGCGCAGAUAUCGGGAAGAACACCUAGUGGCGAAGGCAGCUCUCUGGGACGGUACUGACGCUGAGACGCGAAAGCGUGGGGAGCGAACAGG
rnacentral:rRNA from 1 species